rnacentral:pre_miRNA from 1 species
AUUCUUCUCUUAAACGUUUGAUCCCUUGUAUUUCAAGAUUUGAUUCUUACGUUGAAAUUGAAAUACAAGGGAUCAAACAUUUAAGUGAAGAAC